NUACUUACCUAAUACCGGGAACUCCGUGAUCAGGAAGGCGGAGACCCCAGGAGGAGGCCCUUCCAUUACACUCCGAGAUCAGGAAGGCGGAGACCCCAGGAGGAGGCCCUUCCAUUGCAUUUCGGAAAAGCUGAGACCCUGCCACUCCCCUAAACUGGGAAAGGUGAGGCAUGUGAUUUUUGGUAGAUUUUGCUAUUUAUCAUACGAAUU
rnacentral:snRNA from 13 species